GUGCUUUUAUUGCAUUCUUUUAUGAAAAUCUCAAAUUGAUUCAUGGCCUUUGAUUUGAAUGUCAACAUCGGAAUUUGUGUGAUAGCUUAAAGUGGGCUGAUUAUUUCUUGUCAUGUUGUCUUAACAAACUGACGUCGUCUAUUUCUUUUUUCUUUCAAUCCCUUUUUUGUGUGCUGUGGAGGUGUUUUUUGUUGAUGAUGAUGAUGAUGAUGCUAACCUUCAAGAUCUGUCUGCGCAGAUUAUUAUCCGAGUGGAACAUGUAAAUAAUUAUUUCGAUGCUCGAUGAUUCAUUCAUUUGUUCGGUUCGUUCGCUUAUUACAAGGAAUAAUGCUUUACAUGCAAAAUGUAAACUAUGCAAAGAUUUACGAACAUCAUAAAUGCUGUCGAAUGGUGUUUGUGCAACCUUUAUGAUGAUGCAAGCUGUUCUGCUUGUGGUCGGAUCUGCUGUCGUGUUUACAUUUGCUGGGCAUCGGAGAUUUGAUUACUGUGCCAGUUCCCAUCCUGGCAUCAUCUAUCAUCUAUGCCGAAUAUCGGGCAGCAAAAUUAUAGAGCUCUCUCUCUGGGGGGAUGUAAAUGCGAUUUCAUUUCUGCCGCUUAUGGUUUAUAGAAGAUCACUUGCUGCAAUAAAACACUUAAAACGAUGACGACGGCGGUCAUUUGGCCUCAAGUGCGAAUCAGAGUGAAUCUGAGAGAGGUUUUAUAGGGAGAAGAGGGAAGAGAGCGCUGACUGCAAACGCCGCCAAUAAGCACUGCUUUGCAUGACGAAUAGAAAAACUAACCCAAAAGUCACGCUAAUAGUAAAUUGAGCUCAGUAUUCAACACUCAUAACAUAGCUCGAAUGAUCUAUUCCAACAUAUGCCAACUGUGCAGUGGUUAAAGUGACUCAAGUAAAGCCUAAAAAAUACCCUUUUGGACUCAUAAACCACGCAACAUGUUUUAUUGUGGAGUGAUUUUUCUUUUCUCAAUUUUGCUGGUCAAAGGUGACGCUGCAAAAGCACCUUUUUCAGUUCAAUUCCAAAAUAUUUCCUGUGCAAUUCAGGAUCCCACUUGGAUGCUUCAACUCGACUGCAUAAUGCAGAAAAAGCGCAUGUAUCCACAAAUUUCUAUGCACCUUCAGCUAGCUCAGCCAGUGAAUGAAUUGAACAUGCUCUAUCAUCUGCAAAUUAUCAAAAAGGAUGAUUCUAAAAUGACUGUUGCACGUCUUAAACUCGAUGGCUGCAAACUUCUUGCUUCAUUUUACAGAAACAGUAAGCUUGGAAAGUUCUUUAAGCGCAUGCAAAGUGUCAGUAAUCUGCCCAAGAAAUGUCCACUUCCUGCAAAUAACCUUUUUUGGAUUCGCAAUUAUACAGCAUUGCCUGAAGAGUAUCCUCCAUUUGCUCCCGCCGCCACAUUUGUUGCGAGUCUCAAGAUGGAACGACGGGGAACAAUCAUUGCCGAAAUUAUUAAUAUAUUCUCCAUUAUUUAUUAAAUAAUCGUAAAUUCAACGCUUUAAAAU